CCUGGAAGAGUAAAUCAGAAUAAAUUAAAGGAAUAAACUCGGUCAUAAUUGAGAACCUGGAACUUGCCGAGUAGUGAGCCCUGGGGCCUGUCUUUGUCCUCCAGUGCUGGACUACAAGUGUGCACCACCAAACCUGGCUUUUUAAAACGUGGUUUUGGAGACUAAUCUCAGGUCUUCAUACAUAAAGAAAGGAAUAGAACUCAGAUCACCUACUCAUUGGCCUAGAACCAACAAUUCUUUAUCAAGCUCUGGAAUACAGCUAAAGUUUCACAGCCAUAUAAUGUUUAAUUAUGAAAAUGUGGCUAAAGCCUUCAUAGCAUUUCAAGAGCUGAAAGGAAUACUCUGGAGAGAGAUGAUCGUGCAAUGGCCACUUUUCUUAUAAACAACAAUCAUAUCCUCAAAAUACCACCUUACAAACAACUGUCACGAUUGUUUGUAAGCAGGAGGUCAGAAUGAGGACGAUGCUAAAGCUGGAGUUCUGGAUGAGGGCUUUCCUGCUGGUCCAACAGGCAAAUGCAAGAGGAUAGCAAAGGUUUGGCUUAGCAUCAGUAAGAUUUUAGAGAUCUUUAAUGUGACUGGUUAUGUUCCUAAGCUGUUCAUCUAGUAGAUAUUGUUUAGUGGGUCUCCAGAAUGCCUUCAAAUGCUAGCCACAUUCCAGGGUGGGCUGGUCAGAGCCAGCUGUAUCCUUAGCUUAUCUGGGACAGCCUGAGAGAGGGGCUGAAGAAGAGCUUCCAGGCUUCCAGCAGUCACUAGCAGGUGACAUUUUGGUGAUUUUUCACUCUCAGAGCAUCUAUCACUUACUUUGCAC